AAGGUCGAGAAGAAAUGUUUCAGUCUUCGGACGCGUUUUCUCGUGUGUAUGUCAAUGAGAGAAGUCUACUUUACACUAGCCCUUAAUAUAUCCAUUUAUCAAAUCAUUAAAUAAUGAUUUGAUAUUAUACUUAACCUAUAAAUUUCCUUUCCUUUCACCACGAACGGGUUCCUUCAUCAUCUCCGCCGAUCCACAAGGGGUCCGCGAAACAUCGAUGGUUGAGAACCACUGCUCUAGCCUAGGGAGCCUUCAUGAAGCGCACAUGAAGGCACCCUACUCAAGCCUAUUAAAUAGGUGCGUGGUUCUCUGCACCUUGCACCCUUCUUAGAGGGAAAAGCGGCUCCCAGUCGCACGAAACAGAGCAAUAACAGGUCUGUGAUGCCCUUAGAUGUCCGGGGCCGCACGCGCGCUAC
rnacentral:ncRNA from 1 species